rnacentral:rRNA from 1 species
UACAGAGGUCUCAAGCGUUGUUCGGAUUCAUUGGGCGUAAAGGGUGCGUAGGCGGCGGAGCAAGUCAGGUGUGAAAUCCCGGGGCUCAACCCCGGAACUGCACUUGAUACUGCUUUGCUAGAGUACUGGAGAGGAGAUUGGAAUUUACGGUGUAGCAGUGAAAUGCGUAGAGAUCAUGAGGAAGACCAGUGGCGAAGGCGGGUCUCUGGACAGUUCCUGACACUGAGACACGAAGGCCAGGGGAGCAAACGGG